AUUGGACUACCAYGGCAAUGACGGGUGACGGAGAAUUAGGGUUUGAUUCSGGAGAGGGAGCSUGAGAAAUGGUUACCACAUAUAAGGAAGGCAGCAGGCGCGCAAAUUACCCAAUCCUAMCUCAGGGAGGUAGUGACAAGAAAUAACAACGCGGGGCAAAGUCUCGUGGAUUGGAAUGAGGACAAUGUAAAAGCCUUAUCGAGUACCCACUGGAGGGCAAGUCUGGUGCCAGCAGCCGCGGUAAUACCAGCUCCAGUAGGGUWUAUUAAAGUUGUUGCAGUUAAAAAGCUCGUAGUUGAAGUUCUGUACGGAUUGAGCCUCCACGGAGCGCACAAGCCGUACAUCCGUAUGAUUSUUCAGACACUUUACCUUGAGCAAAUUAGAGUGUUCCAGGCAGGCGCCAGCCUGAAUAGUCCAGCAUGGAAUAAUAGAAAAGGAUGMAGAGCCACKGUUGGUGCGUGGCCYUUAGUAAUGAUUAAUAGGGAUAGUUGGGGGCAUUCGUAUUUAAUUGUCAGAGGUGAAAUUCUAUGAUUUAUUAAAGACGAACCUAUGUGAAAGCAUKGAMCAAGGAUGUAUCAUA
rnacentral:rRNA from 1 species